rnacentral:rRNA from 1 species
UACGUAGGGUGCGAGCGUUAAUCGGAAUUACUGGGCGUAAAGCGUGCGCAGGCGGCUUCGCAAGUCAGAACGUGAAAUCCCCGGGCUUAACCUGGGAAUGGCGUUUGAAACUACGGAGCUGGAGUGUGGCAGAGGGGAGGUAGAAUUCCACGUGUAGCGGUGGAAUGCGCAGAUAUCAGGAGGAACACCGGGUGGCGAAGGCGGGUCUCUGGGCAGUAACUGACGCUGAGGAGCGAAAGCGUGGGGAGCGAACAGG